AUUGAACGCUGGCGGCAGGCCUAACACAUGCAAGUCGAACGGUAACAGGAAGAAGCUUGCUUCUUUGCUGACGAGUGGCGGACGGGUGAGUAAUGUCUGGGAAACUGCCUGAUGGAGGGGGAUAACUACUGGAAACGGUAGCUAAUACCGCAUAACGUCGCAAGACCAAAGAGGGGGACCUACGGGCGUCUUGCCAUCGGAUGUGCCCAGAUGGGAUUAGCUAGUAGGUGGGGUAACGGCUCACCUAGGCGACGAUCCCUAGCUGGUCUGAGAGGGUGACCAGCCACACUGGAACUGAGACACGGUCCAGACUCCUACGGGAGGCAGCAGUGGGGAAUAUUGCACAAUGGGCGCAAGCCUGAUGCAGCCAUGCCGCGUGUAUGAAGAAGGCCUUCGGGUUGUAAAGUACUUUCAGCGGGGAGGAAGAGAGUCAAGUUAAUCCAUUUGCUCAUUGACGUUACCCGCAGAAGAAGCACCGGCUAACUCCGUG
rnacentral:rRNA from 1 species